UAUUGUUUUGAUAAACAUACCUCCUGCCUAAUAUGAUCGAAUAUCGAUCAUUUUUAAUAAUAAUGAUUCUCUAGAAGAUUCCAUUAUUGUGUAUAUAUUUCAUUUAGAUUGGAUAAUAUUUAUUCGAGAUAUUGGCCAAAAAAUUUGUGUAAUACAAUAUGUUAAUGGUUAUUCAUCUGAUAAUAUUGAUCCGAUAUUGGCCAUUUUUAAUAGAAUUGAUCCUCGAGUAUGACCUAAUAACAGACGAAUUUCAACCAAAUCAGAUAAUAGCUAACCUGUGAUAUCUUGCUGAUAAAAGGACGGACAGAUGGAUAAACAAAUCUAAUUAUUGUAUAUAUUAAUUAGAUUCCUUUUAUUCCAUUUAGGAAUGGAAAGAUCAAAAAAGGACGAAUGGCAACUUGCUUAUAUCAAUGUAUACAGGAUCACGUUUACUAUUAGAGGAAAGUGCCCAAAACCGGAUCCUCAUUUUGUUUUUGAUUUAAAAAAAAUAGAAAAUAGUAAAAAAAAAUAUGUUUUAAAAGCAUGUAAUAUUUACUUUAUAAUGUUAUGCACCAUUUACAUUUUACUUUUAGAACAUAUAAUUAAAAGUUAGUAUAAAAAAAAUUUUCAAAAACUUUACACUUUGGCGAUUUGAAAAAUAGUUCCGAAACCGGACCCCUUGUAAAAAUAAUCAAAAUAAGACUAGACAAAAUUAGAAAAGGGUAUUAAAUCAGAGAAAACAUAUUCUAGUUUCAAAGUAUAAGUGUAAUAUAACAAUUACAAGUUUUACUUUUUAAAUAAAGAUACAGAAUGUAUUCCAAAAGAUACAGAAAAUGUAUAACCAAAUUAAAUUGUUUAGUGACAAAAAUCGCAAAUGUACACGUUCUUUUUAGCCCCAGCACAAUCUUCAAUAGAAUUCCAAGAGAAUAAGAAUGUAUACAAAUACAGACAGACUUUAUACAUGAAAAAAUAAGGGGUCUGGUUUAGGCAACUGAAGGGGAUCCGGUUUGCAUGACUAUAGCCUACAUUUUUUUAACCUAAAAUCUAAAUUAAACAGUUUAAUGAUAAACAUUAACCUUAAACCUUAUCAUUUAAGAAUAUAUAUAUGUCGAAAGGCUUAUCUACAAUAUCUAGAAGAAAUAACGAAAAAUGUAGCACAUUGUAAAAACUUUUUCCAAUGCCAAAACACUUAAUGGCGGACUGAUAAGCAA
rnacentral:lncRNA from 1 species